GACAGAGGGGGCAAGCGUUGCUCGGAAUUACUGGGCGUAAAGGGCGCGUAGGCGGGAUGGCAAGUCGGUCGUGAAAUCCCUCGGCUCAACCGAGGAACGUCGAUCGAUACUGCUGUUCUUGAGGAUUGCAGAGGAGACUGGAAUUCCCGGUGUAGCGGUGAAAUGUGUAGAGAUCGGGAGGAACACCGGUGGCGAAGGCGGCGACCUGGGUAGAUACUGACGCUGAGGUGCGAAAGCGUGGGGAGCAAACAGG
rnacentral:rRNA from 1 species